AAAAUGCGAAAACGGCAAAAGGCGUGGAAAAUCUCCGAACCCAGAGCUUUCCCAAUUAGCUGCUAUUUAUACUGCUACUUGUGUAACGGCUUUCCAAGGGUUUCCGUAUGCGCGGUCUUUUCGUUCCGAGGGUCAAGCGUGGAAAUAGCUUUCAACGUGGUCAGUUGAGUUCCUAGUGCCAAAAAUAUAGGGGAAUGGUGUGACGUCCGUCACACCAUGUGUGACGCUCGUCACAGGAGUGUGCUUAGUGUGACGCUCGUCACAACCUUUGUG
rnacentral:lncRNA from 1 species